UACGUAGGGGGCAAGCGUUGCUCGGAAUCACUGGGCGUAAAGGGCGCGUAGGCGGGAUGGCAAGUCGGUCGUGAAAUCCCUCGGCUCAACUGAGGAUCGUCGAUCGAUACUGCCGUUCUUGAGGAUUGCAGAGGAGACUGGAAUUCCCGGUGUAGCGGUGAAAUGUGUAGAGAUCGGGAGGAACACCGGUGGCGAAGGCGGGUCUCUGGGCAAUUCCUGACGCUGAGGCGCGAAAGCGUGGGGAGCAAACGGG
rnacentral:rRNA from 1 species